rnacentral:lncRNA from 1 species
UUUGUGGUUUAACAGGACACAACAAUAGGUACCAUGACAAAGCAGAAGCACCACAUGAGGUUUGUUCAUAUAUGGAGUUUGUAUUGUGUUUUCUAGUGUCUGGUAAAAUUUAAAAUCUGAAUGUAUUACGUUUAUGUGUUCAUCAUAGGAAUGGCCUUACGGGGAUAUACAUCAAGAAAGUUCAACUCACUUUCGAAGUGAAACCACAAAGGUGAUCAUAUCUACCACAAUGCCAUACAAUUAGUAGGUAUUAUAACUAAUUUGCUGGCAUUAUAACUGAUUUGUUUUGAGUCUUUUGACCCAUUUUUCAGGCCAAACUAGUACCUAGGAGGCCUUCUAGGGUGCUUAUGUCUAGAGUGCAACCGGUAGAACCACAAUCUAAUUUUCAAUUCAUGCCAACGUCUGGAAUUGGUUUAACUGGUGUUGCACAAUUUGCCAAUGACG